GGCGGUGUCUAUGCGUCGUGGGAAACACCUGUUCCCAUCUCGAACACAGCAGUUAAGCCGCGACGGCCGAUGGUACUGGUUGAACGGGAGAGUAGGUGAACGCCGCCU
rnacentral:rRNA from 1 species